CAUCCUUGAUCGGAAGGUCCGGGUAAUCUUUUGAAACUUCAUCGUGCUGGGGAUAGUCCCUUGCAAUUUUUGGACUUAAACGAGGAAUUCCUAGUAAGCGUGAGUCAUCAACUCGCGUUGAUUACGUCCCUGCCCUUUGUACACACCGCCCGUCGCUACUACCGAUUGAAUGGCUUAGUGAAUCCUUCGGAUUGGCUAUUUUUUUCUGGCAACAGAAUUAAACUGCUAAAAAGUUGGGCAAACUUGGUCAUUUAGAGGAAGUAAAAGUCGUAACAAGGUUUCCGUAGGUGAACCUGCGGAAGGAUCAUUAAAAAAUAAUCACAGUUUUGUGAUUUUAAUAAUCAUCCUACCCUUUGUGAAUUUGUUUUGUUUGAAAAUUUAUGUUGUCUAUCCCUGGUGGUUUUGGAAAAGUUGAAAAACUUUUUCGAAUCCCAGGGACUAGGCUUUCAUAGACCUUUUUUUAAAUUAAACUUUUUGUAUUCAUUUGUCUAAAUUUAUUUUUAAUAAUUUAAAAACAACUUUUGACAAUGGAUCUCUUGGUUCUCGCAACGAUGAAGAACGCAGCAAAAUGCGAUAAGUAAUGUGAAUUGCAGAAUACGUGAAUCAUCAAAUCUUCGAACGCAUAUUGCAC
rnacentral:rRNA from 1 species